GCCAGUGUGGUGUAGUGGUCUGAGCAUUGGACUAUCACUCUACUAGAGAAAGGGUUCAAUUCCCUGCUUGGCU